UGUCGUUGCUUUGUAACGGAUACUACAACGUUGCCUUCCCUUUUGUUUUCACGGUGUAUGUAGUACAGUAGAAUUCACGUUAUUAUCUUUAUGAACUCCCUUUCAGUAACAAAUCUCACAAACCGUAAAGAAAAACACAGAGAGAAAGAAGAAAACAUUCAAGGGCACUAGUAGUGUAUAAAUGUGCGGCAAAAUGUACAUGGAAUGGAAGGCAACAACAUCUGUCCUGCCCUGUCCUGUGCAUCCAUCCAUCAAGAACAGCGGUGACGAACAAACACCAUUGAUGAUUAAUUAGAUGAGGAACAGGAAGCAAGAAAUCGUCGGGGGGGCAGGGCAGGGCACUGUGUGGGACGGACGGCGACCGCGCGAACGGAUCGGGGAUAACAAACAAACCAAUGAAUCAGUUGCGGGAGCACUCGGCGGGGAAGCCCUGCGGGAAGCGCCAGCCGUCGUCGCAGUAGUUGUAGUGCAUGUAGUUCUGCCUGGCCCAGGCGACGGUGCCCCACUCGGCGGCGUCGAGCUGGCGGCUCAUCCAGCGGUCGGUGCCGGCGGGGCAGGAGAGCGGGCGGCCGUCGCCGUCGGGCACGCAGGCGUCGGCGGAGUAGCCGCGGUAGGAGACGGCGAAGGGCGCGGCGGACCAGUCCACCUUCACCUUCCCCUGCUGCGUGGCCCAGUAGCUGCCGUCCCACAGCGUGGCGUGCACCGACAUGGGCUUCCCGCCCGGGUACGCCAGGUCCGGGUACCGCUUGAAGCACCGCACGAAGAGGUCGUCCACCUUGAAGAUGACGUUCUUGUCGUUCCAGAUGAUGGUGUAGGUGUGGAAGUCGGCGGCCGGGUCGAACCACAGGUAGAACUGGUGCUCCUUCUUGCCGUCGCCGUUGGCCCACACGUUGGUGUUCAGCACCACGGGCUGCCCGCUGGCGUUGCCCAUGAACUCCAUGUCGAUCUCGUCGUGCCCGGGCCCGUCGCCCGACGACAGGUAGAAGGAGGUCACGGUGCCCGCGGAGUUGCCCGGGAUCAGCCUCAUCUGGAUGCUGAACUCCCCGUACAGGUACUUCUGCCGCGAGCUGAAGGCGCCGCCGGACUGCUGCGUCAGGAUCAGAGACGUCACCUGCUGCCCCUGCGCGUUGUAGUCCGCGCGCACGUUGCCCUCCGUCGUGAACUUCUCGUACAGCCACGAGUCCGCCGACGCCGCGGCGGCCAGGAGAGCCAGAGCGAGGAGCAAGGACACGGAACGCCGCGCCAUGCGGUCCAUGCUCAUGCCAGUGCUCUGCUUCGCUUGUCGGAGAUGAGAUGGGAUGGGAUGAGAGGAGAGGAGGCGGCUAGCUGUAGGCCAGUAGCUGACUGGCUAGUGGAGUGAUGAUGAAGCC
rnacentral:lncRNA from 1 species